CCUACGGGAGGCAGCAGUGGGGAAUAUUGCACAAUGGGGGAAACCCUGAUGCAGCGACGCCGCGUGAGUGAAGAAGUAAUUCGUUAUGUAAAGCUCUAUCAGCAGGGAAGAAAAUGACGGUACCUGAGUCAGAAGCCCCGGCUAACUACGUGCCAGCAGCCGCGGUAAUACGUAGGGGGCAAGCGUUAUCCGGAUUUACUGGGUGUAAAGGGAGCGUAGACGGCAGUGCAAGUCUGGAGUGAAAGGCGGGGGCUCAACCCCCGGACUGCUCUGGAAACUGUACGGCUGGAGUGCAGGAGAGGUAAGUGGAAUUCCUAGUGUAGCGGUGAAAUGCGUAGAUAUUAGGAGGAACACCAGGGGCGAAGGCGGCUUACUGGACUGUAACUGACGUUGAGGCUCGAAAGCGUGGGGAGCAAACAGGAUUAGAUACCCCAGUAGUC
rnacentral:rRNA from 1 species